rnacentral:lncRNA from 1 species
AGAGACUAUGGCUUGGGGUGACAAUGUGCUGAUUACAAGGUCUACAGACAAUUAAGACACAGAAACAGAUGGGAAGAGGGUGUCCAGCAUCUGGUGGUUGGGACCUUGAUGCUGCCUGGUUCAGGGACCUUGGUGUAGCCUGGCUCAGGGACCUUGGUACAACCUGGCUCAGGGACCUUGGUACAGCCUGGCUCAGGGAC